GUAUUUUGAUAUAUUAAGUAGUGGAGAAGCUUAAAGACGUUGAAUAAAUCUCAAAUGAGUUAGGAUGAAGAAGUUAUUUCACUUUCAAAUCAGGUGAUCCCUGUUUUCCUGAUUGGAAAAUGACAACUUCUUUGUCAUUCUAAUCAAACCAGGUUGAAUUGAGAUAUAAAUAGCUUGAUUUGGAUACAUAAAAUAGUGUAAACACACCAGGAAGUUGAAUAAAUGUCAUAGGAGUUAGGGAUGAAGUUAUCCCACUUUCAAAUAAGGUAAUUCCAGUUUUCAUGUCUGUGAAUAUGACAAAUUAUUCGUCAUUCUAAUCAAGCCAGGAUGUAUCUAAUGUAAGAAGUUGUAUUUGGAUACAUAAACUAGUGGAGAAUCACCAGGAAGUUGAAUAAAUCUCAUAGGAGUUAGGAUGUAGAAGUUAUCACACUUUCUAAUAAGAUGUCCCAAUCUUCACGUUUGGGAAUAUGACAACUUUUUCGUUAUUCUAAUCAAACCAGGAUGAAGCGCGAGAUAUGAAGCUUGAUUUUGAUAUAUAAAGUGGUGGAGAAUCACCAGGAAGUUGAAUAAAUUUUAUAGGACUUAGGAUGAAGAAGUUAUCCGACUUUCAUAUCACGUGAUCCAAGUUUUCCUGUUUGAGAACAUGACAAGUUCUUCAUCAUUCUAAUCAAACCAAGAUGAAUAGUGAUGUAAAAAACUUGAUUAAGAUACAUAAAUAGUGGAGAAUCAUCUGGAAAUUUAAUAAAUCUCAUAGGUGUUAUGAUAAAGAAGUUAUUCCAUUUUCAAAUGAAGUGAUUCCAAUUUUCAUGUUUGGGAAAAUGACAACUUCCUCGUCAUUCUAAUCAAACAUGGAUGAAUCGUGAUGAAAAAGCUUGAUCUGGAUACAUAAAGUAGUGGACAUCACCAGGAAGUUGAAUAAAUCUGUAGGAGUUAGGGAAUAUGACAUCGUUUUCGUCAUUCUAAUCAAACCAGGAUUAAUCGCGGGGUAAAACGUUUGAUUUGGAUACAUAUAGUAGUGGAGAAUCACAUGGAAGUUGAAUAAAUCUCAUAGGAGUUUGGAUGAAAAAGUUAUCUCACUUUCAAAUAAGGUGAUCUCAGUUUCCUGUUUGGGAAUAUGAAUUCUUUGUCAAUCUAAUCAAACAAGGAUGAAUCGCGAUGUAAGAAGCUGUAUUUUGAUACAUAUAGUAGUGGAGAAUCAUCAGGAACUUGAAGAAAUCUCAUAGGAACAUGACAAAUUCAAGUGAUUCAAGUUUUCUUAUUUGGGAACAUGACAAAUUCUUCUUUAUUCUAAUCAAACCAGGAUGAAUCACGAUGUAAGAAGCUGUAUUUGGAUACAUAAAGUAGUUGAGAAUCAUCAGGAAGUUGAAUAAAUCUCAUAGGUGUUAGGAUGAAGAAGUUAUCUGACUUUCAAAUCAGGUGACCCCUGUUUUCCUGAUUGGAAAAAUGACAACUUCUUUGUCAUUCUAAUCAAACCAGGUUGAAUUGCGAUAUAAAAAGCUUGAUUUGGAUACAUAAAAUAGUGUAGAAUCACCAGGAAGUUGAAUAAAUGUCAUAGGAGUUAGGGAUGGAGUUAUCCCACUUUCAAAUAAGGUUACUUCAGUUUUCGUGUCUGUGAAUAUGAAAAAUUGUUCGUCAUUCUAAUAAAACUAGGAUCACUUAAUUCGGAUAAAUAAAGUAGUGGAGAAUCACCAGGACGUUUAAUAAAUCUCAUAGGAGUUAGGAUGAAGAAGUUAUCCCACUUUCAAAUAAUAUUAUCCCAAUUUUCAUGUUUGGGAAUAUGACAUCUUUUUCGUCAUUCUAAUCAAACCAGGAUAAAUCGCGGGGUAGAAGCUUGAUUUUGUAUACAUGAAGUAGUGGAGAACCACAAUUAAUAUGAAUAAAUC
rnacentral:lncRNA from 1 species